rnacentral:rRNA from 1 species
AUGAACGCUGGCGGCGUGCCUAAUACAUGCAAGUCGAGCGAACAGAUGAGGAGCUUGCUCCUCUGACGUUAGCGGCGGACGGGUGAGUAACACGUGGAUAACCUACCUAUAAGACUGGGAUAACUUCGGGAAACCGGAGCUAAUACCGGAUAAUAUAUUGAACCGCAUGGUUCAAUAGUGAAAGACGGUUUUGCUGUCACUUAUAGAUGGAUCCGCGCCGCAUUAGCUAGUUGGUAAGGUAACGGCUUACCAAGGCAACGAUGCGUAGCCGACCUGAGAGGGUGAUCGGCCACACUGGAACUGAGACACGGUCCAGACUCCUACGGGAGGCAGCAGUAGGGAAUCUUCCGCAAUGGGCGAAAGCCUGACGGAGCAACGCCGCGUGAGUGAUGAAGGUCUUCGGAUCGUAAAACUCUGUUAUUAGGGAAGAACAAAUGUGUAAAUAACUAUGCACGUCUUGACGGUACCUAAUCAGAAAGCCACGGCUAACUACGUG